rnacentral:misc_RNA from 1 species
GGGGGUGGUGGUGGUGGUGGUGGACAAAAUGCGGGAUCUGGCUUUGGUAGUGGAGUUGGAGGUGGGUAUGGGUACGGAAUUGGAGGUGGAGGCGGUGGUGGAGGCGGUGGUGGAGGAGGCGGAGGUGGUGGUGGUGGCAACAAUCUCUUUGGUGGAAUGGGUGGAGGUUCUGGCUUUGGAAGUGGCUUUGGGUCUGGCAGCGGUAGUGGAGGGCUUGGUGGUGGCGGGGGUGGGGGUGGAGGUGGAGGUGGGGGCGGAGGUGGUGGCGGUGGCAACAACCUCUUCGGUGGAUUGGGUGGGGGUUCUGGCUUUGGAGGUGGCUUUGGGUCUGGUAGUGGUAGUGGAGGGCAUGGUGGUGGCGGGGGUGGGGGUGGAGGUGGAGGUGGGGGCGGAGGUGGUGGCGGUGGCAACAACCUCUUCGGUGGAUUGGGUGGGGGUUCUGGCUUUGGAGGUGGCUUUGGGUCUGGUAGUGGUAGUGGAGGGCA